UUGCCCGUUUGACUACCACAUUUUCUCCUAAUAGAUUUUGGUAGCUAUGCUUAUGGGAUAGAUUAAAAUUGCCCUGAUCUGAAAAGAGAGGAUUUAUUUGUGUCCUCUUCCUGUAUGAAAUGGCUGAACAGAAAAAA